rnacentral:rRNA from 1 species
GAUGAACGCUAGCUACAGGCUUAACACAUGCAAGUCGAGGGGCAUCAUGGUCAAAGCUUGCUUUGACUGAUGGCGACCGGCGCACGGGUGAGUAACGCGUAUCCAACUUCCCCUUAGUAGGGGAUAGCCCGGUGAAAAUCGGAUUAAUACCCUAUAUUCUUCACAGCGGACAUCUAACGUGAAGCAAAGGUUCACCGCUAUAGGAUGGGGAUGCGUCUGAUUAGGUUGUUGGCGGGGUAACGGCCCACCAAGCCUACGAUCAGUAGGGGUUCUGAGAGGAAGGUCCCCCACAUUGGUACUGAGACACGGACCAAACUCC